GACGAACGCUGGCGGCGUGCUUAACACAUGCAAGUCGAACGGAAAGGCCCUGCUUUUGUGGGGUGCUCGAGUGGCGAACGGGUGAGUAACACGUGAGUAACCUGCCCUUGACUUUGGGAUAACUUCAGGAAACUGGGGCUAAUACCGGAUAGGAGCUCCUGCUGCAUGGAGGGGGUUGGAAAGUUUCGGCGGUUGGGGAUGGACUCGCGGCUUAUCAGCUGGUUGGUGGGGUAGUGGCUUACCAAGGCUUUGACGGGUAGCCGGCCUGAGAGGGUGACCGGCCACAUUGGGACUGAGAGACGGCCCAGACUCCUACGCGAGGCAGCAGUGGGGCAUAUUGCACAAUGGGCGGCCGCCCGAUGCAGCAACGCCGCGUGCGGGAUGACGGCUUUCGGCUUGUAAACCGCUUUCGCCUGUGACGAAGCGUGAGUGACGCCCAUGGGUAAAGAAGCACCGCCUAACUCCGUG
rnacentral:rRNA from 1 species